AGCUUUGAGUUUCAUUUCCUCCUGGGUGUCCUGAGGACUCUUCCACUCUAGUGUGCUGCCCUCCAUUUUCUCCUCUCCACAGAGUCAGGAUCUCUUGGUUGAUGUCUGAAGAUGUGAGAACAAAUUUUGGAAGACUUUGGAACAAAGUUUGGAAGACUUUAGAAGAAAACACUCUUUGCUCUGGUAUUUUGCCUGUAUGUAUAUCUCUGCUGCAUAUGGAUACAGUGCCGUCAGAGGCAACAAGAGAGAGUGAGAUUUACUGGAACUUGAGUUACAGGUACAUGAGUAGAAGUGUCAGGAGUCAGACCAGGCAGAAACAGAAUCACAGCAAC